rnacentral:tRNA from 1 species
GCUUUAGUAGUUUAAUUAAAAAUAUUGGUUUGUGGGGCCAAAGAUGUAUUAUUAUCUGAAGCA